GGAUGAGAUUGAAAGGAAAGGCAGCAUUUUGGUGGACUACAUAGACCUUCUGUUUAACAAACUGAUUCCACAUACUCUACUUGAUCUUGCCAAAGAUCUUAAAGAAAUGCCUGAGAAGAUACUGGACUGCUUCGUUGUCUAUUCAUCAGGUUGUGGAUUUUGAGGGCUUCAUCUGUGCACUCAAUGAGCAGGGUUACCUUCUGAAGAAAGCCCACAGGAAGUAUCAGUCUCAAACCACAUGAAUCAGCCAUCUCUUGUGAUGUUUUACACUCUAACUGUAUCAUCCUGUUUCGUUUGUUUUUCAAUGCAACAGAUAUUAUACUUAUACCAUACAGUGUGAUGUAUGUUUACACAAAUGCUUCAAUGUUAUUAUCUGUACAUUGUUUUCAUGUACAUAAAUAAACUCAUAAUUGUUUUAAAUAGUAUUUUCCUUUUAUAUAAUCAAACAGUAACCUCAUUUUUGAACAAUGUUUAAGUAGUUUUGUAUCUAAUGAUGUUAGCUGUGUCCUUUCAGUAGAUUCUUCUAAAUUUAAUAUUGAACUUUUAAGUCUGUUUAUACUACUGUCUGUGAAAUAACCACACUUAUACAUGUGCCGCUGAUAAAUUUAAUUGCAAUAUAUAUUAAAAAAACAUUAAAAUGCA